rnacentral:rRNA from 1 species
GACGAACGCUGGCGGCGUGCCUAAUACAUGCAAGUAGAACGCACAGUUUAUACCGUAGCUUGCUACACCAUAAACUGUGAGUUGCGAACGGGUGAGUAACGCGUAGGUAACCUGCCUGGUAGCGGGGGAUAACUAUUGGAAACGAUAGCUAAUACCGCAUAAUAUUAAUUAUUGCAUGAUAAUUGAUUGAAAGAUGCAAUUGCAUCACUACCAGAUGGACCUGCGUUGUAUUAGCUAGUAGGUGAGGUAACGGCUCACCUAGGCGACGAUACAUAGCCGACCUGGGAGGGUGAUCGGCCACACUGGGACUGAGACACGGCCCAGACUCCUACGGGAGGCAGCAGUAGGGAAUCUUCGGCAAUGGACGAAAGUCUGACCGAGCAACGCCGCGUGAGUGAAGAAGGUUUUCGGAUCGGAAAGCUCUGUUGUAAGAGAAGAACGGGUGUGAGAGUGGAAAGUUCACACUGUGACGGUAUCUUAUCAGAAAGGGACGGCUAACUACGUG